rnacentral:rRNA from 1 species
UACGGAAGGCAGCAGUGGGGAAUAUUGCACAAUGGGCGAAAGCCUGAUGCAGCUAUGCCGCGUGUAUGAAGAAGGCCUUAGGGUUGUAAAGUACUUUCAGCAGGGAGGAAAGAAUAAAACUAAUAAUUUUAUUUUGUGACGUUACCUGAAGAAGAAGCACCGGCUAACUCCGUGCCAGCAGCCGCGGUAAUACGGAGGGUGCAAGCGUUAAUCGGAAUUACUGGGCGUAAAGGGCACGCAGGCGGUUAAUUAAGUUGGAUGUGAAAUCCCCGGGCUUAACCUGGGAAUGGCAUUCAAGACUGGUUAGCUAGAGUCUUGUAGAGGGGGUAGAAUUCCAUGUGUAGCGGUGAAAUGCGUAGAGAUGUGGAGGAAUACCGGUGGCGAAGGCGGCCCCUGGACAAAGGACUGACGCUCAUGUGCGAAAGCGUGGGGAGCAAACAGGGAUUAGAUACCC